UACGUAGGCAGCGAGCGUUGUUCGGAGUUACUGGGCGUAAAGGGUGCGUAGGCGGUCCCUUAAGUUUGGUGUGAAAUCUCCCGGCUCAACUGGGAGGGUGCGCCGGAUACUGAGGGGCUAGAGUGCGGGAGAGGAAAGUGGAAUUCCUGGUGUAGCGGUGAAAUGCGCAGAUAUCAGGAGGAACACCGGUGGCGAAGGCGGGUCUCUGGGCCGAUACUGACGCUGAGGAGCGAAAGCGUGGGGAGCGAACAGG
rnacentral:rRNA from 1 species